UACGUAGGGUCCGAGCGUUGUCCGGAAUUAUUGGGCGUAAAGAGCACGUAGGCGGUUUGAUAAGCGGAAUGUGAAAGCCCCGGGCUUAACCUGGGAACUGCAUUCCGAACUGUCAGGCUAGAGUAUGAUAGAGGUGAGCGGAAUUUCCUGUGUAGCGGUGAAAUGCGUAGAUAUAGGAAGGAACAUCAGUUGCGAAGGCGGCUCACUGGAUCAAUACUGACGCUGAGGUGCGAAAGCGUGGGUAGCGAACAGG
rnacentral:rRNA from 1 species